UCUUCCUACGGGACGCAGCAGUGAGGAAUAUUGGUCAAUGGGCGGGAGCCUGAACCAGCCAAGUCGCGUGAGGGAAGAAGGUACUGAGUAUUGUAAACCUCUUUUGCCAGGGGACAAAGGCGGCCACGGGUGGCCGUAAGAGGGUACCUGGAGAAAAAGCAUCGGCUAACUCCGUGCCAGCAGCCGCGGUAAUACGGAGGGUGCAAGCGUUACUCGGAAUCACUGGGCGUAAAGAGUGCGUAGGCGGGGUAAUAAGUCAGAUGUGAAAUCCUGUAGCUUAACUACAGAACUGCAUUUGAAACUGU
rnacentral:rRNA from 1 species